AAGCUUCCUCGCAUUGCUGUUCUACAAGGUAUCUGCAAGUGAUCCAUGUGAAUUCAUUAAGUAACAAGAGAAGGCAAUGUGGCUUCUGUUGUUAUUUUUGUUAUUUUAUAUGUCCAUUGAACUGUAUUUGCUCACCAGAAGUGUUCCUCUGACUGUUUGUGAAUUAGUUUCUCUGAUACUGUUACAGGAAAAGCAUGUCUGCUCAUUGCAUAAUUUGUCUGGUCCCUGGAACUGACAAUGUCUCUCUGGUGGCUGAAUUGAAUUUGCCGUUUCACCUAGUAAUCAGAUUUUAUUUAGCGAUUCUACAAGAGGAACAAGGGGCAUCUCGCAUGUAAGGUAGGAUCAUGUAUUAAUAUUCUAGAAUGGUUCAUAAGCUGCUAAUCCCUAGAAACUGCACAAUAGAUCUGAAAAGUAUUUACUAAAUACCACAUGGCAGCUUGUAGUCUCUUUUUCAGACUCCAUACGCAUUGUCUAAUUCUAUUUUGUAGCAAGUAUAUUCUAUGUCUUGCUCACCUGGUGUCCAUAUUGCUAGAAGGUAUGGACUAGGAUCAUCAGGUUGUCUUUUGUCCAUCUGCAAAUUUGUGUCAUAAUUAAGCAAAAGUAACAGAAAGAGAAUGACAUGGUUAAAUGAUAAAUUGGAAACUAACCCUAUUAAGAAGAGGAUGUGAAUCUGGAAGUUCAUACCUGCAUCAUAUCAGGGACACGGGAGUUAGAGCUCACAACUGAGGAUUUCUUUUGGAUUUUUCUUUUAUUAUUGUAAAUUAUUCUUAAAAAAAUUCUAACGAGUACAUUGAUUGCCUUAGGAUGUUGUUCUAGUUUGAAGCUUUUUCCUUUUUUCACAGUUUAUUGUUCUCCUUCUAACUAGCAACUACAAUGUCCUUUUCCCGAAUAAGAAAUUCCAAACCAUAACUAUAGCAUGAUAUUUGUGGGAUAUAUAAUAAGUGAAGUUAAUGCAUGAUUUUGGUGGGUAAUUCUAUUAAAAUAAAAUCUUGACUCUGUUGAGCUGUAUGCAGUGGUUCUUUUGGAAUCACUUUGUCAUCAGUUAUUAUGGCAAGAUGUUCACUUACACUUGGUGUUCUGUCCGUAGCCGACUGACAUUUUUCAGUUUGGGUGUGGGGAUGGAAGCAGCUUCUGGAUUCAAAGCAACUAAAGCCUUUGACAUGUCACAUUCUUGGAGUUCCAUGUUUGCUUGCAUGUAAUUCUGUAGAUUC
rnacentral:lncRNA from 1 species